GACGUAGGAUGCGAGCGUUGUCCGGAAUUAUUGGGCGUAAAGCGUACGUAGGCGGUCCAGUAAGUCUGGAGUUAAAGACCGAGGCUCAACCUCGGGAGUGCUCUGGAUACUGUUGGGCUGGAGGGUGGAAGAGGGAAGUGGAAUUCCGAGUGUAGCGGUGAAAUGCGUAGAUACUCGGAGGAACACCGGUGGCGAAAGCGACUUCCUGGUCCAUUCCUGACGCUGAGGUACGAAAGCCAGGGGAGCAAACGGG
rnacentral:rRNA from 1 species